AUUGAACGCUAGCGGGUUGCCUUACACAUGCAAGUCGAACGGAGUGGCGAACGGGUGAGUAAUGUAUCGGAACGUGCCCAGUAGCGGGGGAUAACUACGCGAAAGCGUAGCUAAUACCGCAUACUAUUGGAGCGGCUGAAAUCGGAUUAGCUAGUUGGUGGGGUAACGGCUCACCAAGGCGACGAGCCGUAGCUGGUUUGAGAGGACGACCAGCCACACUGGGACUGAUACACGGCCCAGUCUCCUACGUGAGGCAGCAGUGGGGAAUUUUAGACGAUGGGGGAAACCCUGAUCCAGCCAUCCCGCGUAGGCGAUGAAGGCCUUCAGGUUGGAAAGCACUGUUGGCAGGAAAGCGGUACCUGCAGAAUAAGCACCGGCGAACUACGUGCCAGCAGCCGCGGUAAUA
rnacentral:rRNA from 1 species